rnacentral:rRNA from 1 species
UACGUGGGGGGCAAGCGUUGUUCGGAAUUACUGGGCGUAAAGGGCGUGCAGGCGGUCUGUUAAGUGCGGGGUGAAAGCUCCCGGCUCAACUGGGAGAGGGCCUUGCAUACUGGCGGACUUGAGGGGGGGAGAGGAAAGUGGAAUUCCCGGUGUAGUGGUGAUAUGCGUAGAUAUCGGGAGGAACACCGGUGGCGAAGGCGGCUUUCUGGGCCGUACCUGACGCUGAGACGCGAAAGCGUGGGGAGCAAACAGG